UACGGAGGAUGCGAGCGUUAUCCGGAUUUAUUGGGUUUAAAGGGUGCGUAGGCGGACGUUCAAGUCGGCGGUCAAAAUUCGGGGCUCAACCCCGUCGAGCCGUCGAAACUGGGCGACUGGAGUGGAAGAGAAGUGGGCGGAAUGCGCGGUGUAGCGGUGAAAUGCAUAGAUAUCGCGCAGAACUCCGAUUGCGAAGGCAGCCCACCGGCUUCUUACUGACGCUGAAGCACGAAAGCGUGGGGAUC
rnacentral:rRNA from 1 species